rnacentral:rRNA from 1 species
UCCGUAGGUGAACCUGCGGAAGGAUCAUUACUGAGUGUCGGGUUCUCUCUUCGAGGCCCACCCUCCAACCCUGUGUCUAUCGAACCUCUUGUUGCUUUGGCGGGCCCGUCUCCCACCACUGGGAAGACCGCCGGGUCCCUUUAUGGGGCCUGGUCCGUGCUCGCCGACAGCCUACACAACACAAACUCUUGAACUCAACUUUGCGUCUGAAACACAAACAAAACAAAUAAAACAAAACUUUCAACAACGGAUCUCUUGGUUUGGGCAUCGAUGAAGAACGCAGCGAAAUGCGAUAAGUAAUGCGAAUUGCAGAAUCCGUGAGUCAUCGAAUCUUUGAACGCACAUUGCGCCCUCUGGUAUUCCGGGGGGCAUGCCUGUUCGAGCGUCAUUAUCACCCCUCAAGCCUCCGGUUUGGUGUUGGGCUUUGGCGGUUCGCGAGAACCACCGGCCUCAAAUAUAAUGACGGCGUCCCCGUGAGACUCGACGCACUGAGCUUUUAACCACAAGGCACGCGUCCGUAGCGCUCCGGGUCGACAACCGGUCUCAACUUUUUACCAUUUUAACAAGGGGG